rnacentral:rRNA from 1 species
UACGGAGGGUGCAAGCGUUAUCCGGAUUCACUGGGUUUAAAGGGUGCGUAGGUUGAUAGGUAAGUCAGUGGUGAAAUACUCCGACUCAAUCGGAGAACUGCCGUUGAUACUAUCUAUCUUGAAUACGGUGGAGGCGGGCAGAAUGCGUCAUGUAGUGGUGAAAUGCUUAGAUAUGACAUAGAACACCAAUUGCGAAGGCAGCUUACUACACAAUAAUUGACGCUGAGGCACGAAAGCGUGGGGAUCAAACAGG